CGGGUGAGUAAUACGUGAGUAACCUGCCCUUGACUCUGGGAUAAGCCUGGGAAACUGGGUCUAAUACUGGAUACUACCUCUUGCCGCAUGGUGGGUGGUGGAAAGGGUUUUACUGGUUUUGGAUGGGCUCACGGCCUAUCAGCUUGUUGGUGGGGUAAUGGCUCACCAAGGCGACGACGGGUAGCCGGCCUGAGAGGGUGACCGGCCACACUGGGACUGAGACACGGCCCAGACUCCUACGGGAGGCAGCAGUGGGGAAUAUUGCACAAUGGGCGGAAGCCUGAUGCAGCGACGCCGCGUGAGGGAUGACGGCCUUCGGGUUGUAAACCUCUUUCAGUAGGGAAGAAGCGAGAGUGACGGUACCUGCAGAAGAAGCGCCGGCUAACUACGUGCCAGCAGCCGCGGUAAUACGUAGGGCGCAAGCGUUGUCCGGAAUUAUUGGGCGUAAAGAGCUCGUAGGCGGUUUGUCGCGUCUGCUGUGAAAGCCCGGGGCUCAACCCCGGGUCUGCAGUGGGUACGGGCAGACUAGAGUGCAGUAGGGGAGACUGGAAUUCCUGGUGUAGCGGUGAAAUGCGCAGAUAUCAGGAGGAACACCGAUGGCGAAGGCAGGUCUCUGGGCUGUUACUGACGCUGAGGAGCGAAAGCAUGGGGAGCGAACAGGAUUAGAUAC
rnacentral:rRNA from 1 species